GCCGAAGUGGCGGAAUUGGCAGACGCGCGGGAUUCAAAAUCCCGUGGCCGCAAGGUCGUGAGGGUUCGAGUCCCUCCUUCGGCA
rnacentral:tRNA from 1 species